GGCUCUCUGUUUACAUAAAUAUAGGGAGUCGAGCCUGCCCAGUGAAUUUUUAAACGGCCGCGGUACUCUGACCGUGCAAAGGUAGCAUAAUCAUUUGCCUUAUAAUUGAAGGCUAGUAUGAAUGGUUUGACGAGAGCAACACUGUCUCCUUUUUAUUUUCAAGAACUUAACUUUUAGGUGAAGAGGCCUAAAUUUUAUUGAAGGACAAGAAGACCCUAUCGAGCUUAAAAGACAUUAUAGAAGUUUAUAUAUUUCUAAAUAAAUUUUCUAUUGAGCUUUUUAGUUGGGGCGACUAAGGAACAAAAAAAGCUUCUUGCUAAUAGUAGACAGUCAUGUUUAGAUCCGAUAAUAAUCGAUCAAAGAAAUUAGUUACCGUAGGGAUAACAGCAUAAUCUCUCUUGAGAGACCUAAUCGAAAGAGGGGGUUGUGACCUCGAUGUUGGACUAGAAUAUCCUAAAGAUGCAGAAGUCUUUGAAAGGUCGGUCUGUUCGACCGUUAAAAUUCU
rnacentral:rRNA from 1 species